UCAUGCGCGCGUCAGCUGGUUAGGCCUCCAGCGCACAAUCGACUGGGGUAGCGUGUUACUUUCUCGGGCUGUGCAUGCCGCCCCCCAUGGGUAUCAUGCACCGCCUUGUGUGGAAUACACCGUCAGUUGGGCGGCAAGCCACUGCCAUCUUGGAUGGUGUGCCACUGUCACUUGGGUGACGUGCCACUAUCGUUUCGGUGACGUGCCUCUAUUUUUUAUGUUGCCAUCACGUUGCAUUCGUCGACCAUCACAUUACUCCUUUCCCAUUGACUUUCUCUCUGCUCACUAGAUCCUGCCACUUGGCGUAAAUCCGAUGGUCCCCAUUUUAUAUAAAUAUGGACCCCCUUCACCAUUUUCUCUUCACUUCCAUUCCAUUCUUCUAUCCUCCAAGAGUUUAGAGAGAGAAUGAGUGAUC
rnacentral:lncRNA from 1 species